UACGUAGGGUGCAAGCGUUGUCCGGAAUUAUUGGGCGUAAAGAGCUUGUAGGCGGUUUGUCGCGUCUGCUGUGAAAUUUCGGGGCUCAACCCCGAACUUGCAGUGGGUACGGGCAGACUAGAGUGUGGUAGGGGAGACUGGAAUUCCUGGUGUAGCGGUGAAAUGCGCAGAUAUCAGGAGGAACACCGAUGGCGAAGGCAGGUCUCUGGGCCAUAACUGACGCUGAGAAGCGAAAGCUGGGGAGCGAACAGG
rnacentral:rRNA from 1 species